rnacentral:rRNA from 1 species
UACGUAGGGGGCGAGCGUUGUCCGGAUUUAUUGGGCGUAAAGAGCGUGUAGGCGGCCAGGUAGGUCUGCUGUGAAAACUCGAGGCUCAACCUCGAGACGUCGGCGGAAACCAUCUGGCUAGAGUCCGGAAGAGGAGAGUGGAAUUCCAGGUGUAGCGGUGAAAUGCGUAGAUAUCUGGAGGAACACCGGUGGCGAAGGCGGCGUCCUGGACCAACACUGACACUGAGGAGCGAAAGCCAGGGGAGCAAACGGG